GGAACGUUAGCUCAGUCGGUUGAGCGCGGCGCUAACAACGCCGAGGUCGCGGGUUCGAUUCCCGUUCGGUCCC
rnacentral:tRNA from 1 species